rnacentral:rRNA from 1 species
GAUGAACGCUAGCGGCAGGCUUAAUACAUGCAAGUCGAGGGGCAGCAUGACUGUAGCAAUACAGUUGAUGGCGACCGGCAAACGGGUGCGGAACACGUACAGAACCUUCCUUCGAGCGGGGAAUAGCCCAGAGAAAUUUGGAUUAAUACCUCGUAACAUUAUGAAGUGGCAUCACUUUAUAAUUAUAGCUCCGGCGGUUG